GUGGGCCUGACUUAACAGGCAGAGUUCCAGGUUGUGACCCUGGCCAGUACCGGUUCGAGACCGGUGGCCCACCCCA
rnacentral:tRNA from 1 species